rnacentral:rRNA from 1 species
GACGAACGCUGGCGGCGUGCCUAAUACAUGCAAGUAGAACGCUGACUACUUUAGCUUGCUAGAGUAGAAGGAGUUGCGAACGGGUGAGUAACGCGUAGGUAACCUGCCUACUAGCGGGGGAUAACUAUUGGAAACGAUAGCUAAUACCGCAUAACAGUGUUUAACACAUGUUAGAUGCUUGAAAGAUGCAAUUGCGUCACUAGUAGAUGGACCUGCGUUGUAUUAGCUAGUUGGUGGGGUAACGGCCCACCAAGGCGACGAUACAUAGCCGACCUGGGAGGGUGAUCGGCCACACUGAGACUGAGACACGGCCCAGACUCCUACGGGAGGCAGCAGUAGGGAAUCUUCGGCAAUGGGGGCAACCCUGACCGAGCAACGCCGCGUGAGUGAAGAAGGUUUUCGGAUCGUAAAGCUCUGUUGUAAGAGAAGAACGUGUGUGAGAGUGGAAAGUUCACACAGUGACGGUAACUUACCAGAAAGGGACGGCUAACUACGUGCCAGCCGCCGCAGUAA